GACAGAGGGUGCAAACGUUGCUCGGAAUUACUGGGCGUAAAGCGCGUGUAGGUGGCUUUGUAAGUCUGAUGUGAAAGCCCAGGGCUCAACCCUGGAAGUGCAUUGGAUACUGCGAAGCUAGAGUAUUGAAGAGGAGAGCGGAAUUCCCGGUGUAGAGGUGAAAUUCGUAGAUAUCGGGAGGAACACCAGUGGCGAAGGCGGCUCUCUGGGCAAUAACUGACACUGAGACGCGAAAGCGUGGGGAGCAAACAGGAUUGAGAA
rnacentral:rRNA from 1 species